rnacentral:rRNA from 1 species
AACGCGGCUUACCAUGCAAGUCGAGGGGUAACAGGGAGGAGCUUGCUUUUCUGCUGACGACCGGCGAACGGGUGCGUAACGCGUAUAGAAUCUGCCUUGUACAGGAGGAUAGCCUUUAGAAAUGAAGAUUAAUACUCCAUAAAUUUAAGAGAUGGCAUCAUUUUUUAAUUAAAGAUUUAUCGGUACGAGAUGACUAUGCGUCCUAUUAGCUAGAUGGUAAGGUAACGGCUUACCAUGGCAACGAUAGGUAGGGGGUCUGAGAGGAUUAUCCCCCACACUGGUACUGAGACACGGACCAUACUCCUACGGGAGG